rnacentral:tRNA from 1 species
GGGGAUUUAGCUCAAUGGUAGAGCGCUUGCCUAGCAAACACAAGGCCCUGGGUUCAGUCCCCA